GCUGUCGUGGUGUAAUGGUUAGCACGCUCGACGCAAGAUCGAGAGGUCCUUGGUUCGAGUCCCGGCGAGGGCA